UAUACAGUUACCUUCAUGAAAAUAGCGUCUCCUUUAGGCACAUUUUCAAACAUAUCUCCACAAACGUGAUCCACUCCUGCAAUAUUAGGAUGCCAAAAACCUCAUGGAAUAUAUCAUAACAAAGAAACUAGACACUAAUGUUAAUUGACAAAAAAAGAUUGGAUUAGUAAGGAUGAUACCGGGAUAGGAAGGAGCAUGUUGAAUGACGUGAGGCAAGUCGAAAUUGAUGCCAUGGAUAUGAGGGUAUUUUGAAGUGAUGAAGCUAAUGUUGAUCCCAAGUCCACCACCAACAUCCACCAACCUUUUUAUGCCCUCCAAACCAUUGUAGGAUUCCAGAAUCUUCUUCAUCACCAAAGUGGUGUGAUUGAUCAUUGCUGUGUUGAAAACUUCAUUGAACCUUGAGUCCAACUUUGGAUACUCAAAAGCAUGAGUGCCAUAAACCCUGUUGAAUGGAA